rnacentral:rRNA from 1 species
GAUGAACGCUGGCGGCGUGCCUAAUACAUGCAAGUCGAGCGAACGGACGAGAAGCUUGCUUCUCUGAUGUUAGCGGCGGACGGGUGAGUAACACGUGGAUAACCUACCUAUAAGACUGGGAUAACUUCGGGAAACCGGAGCUAAUACCGGAUAAUAUUUUGAACCGCAUGGUUCAAAAGUGAAAGACGGUCUUGCUGUCACUUAUAGAUGGAUCCGCGCUGCAUUAGCUAGUUGGUAAGGUAACGGCUUACCAAGGCAACGAUGCAUAGCCGACCUGAGAGGGUGAUCCGGCACACUGGAACUGAGACACGGUCCAGACUCCUACGGGAGGCAGCAGGAGGGAAUCUUGCGCAAUGGGCGAAAGCCUGACCGAGCAACGCCGCGUGGGUGAAGAAGGUCUUCGGGUUGUAAAACUCUGUUAUUAGGGAAGAACAUAUGUGUAAGUAACUGUGCACAUCUUGACGGUACCUAAUCAGAAAGCCACGGCUAACUACGUG